UGGGGAAUAUUGCACAAUGGGCGCAAGCCUGAUGCAGCCAUGCCGCGUGUGUGAAGAAGGCCUUCGGGUUGUAAAGCACUUUCAGCGAGGAGGAAGGGUAGUGUGUUAAUAGCACAUUGCAUUGACGUUACUCGCAGAAGAAGCACCGGCUAACUCCGUGCCAGCAGCCGCGGUAAUACGGAGGGUGCAAGCGUUAAUCGGAAUUACUGGGCGUAAAGCGCACGCAGGCGGUUUGUUAAGUCAGAUGUGAAAUCCCCGCGCUUAACGUGGGAACUGCAUUUGAAACUGGCAAGCUAGAGUCUUGUAGAGGGGGGUGGAAUUCCAGGUGUAGCGGUGAAAUGCGUAGAGAUCUGGAGGAAUACCGGUGGCGAAGGCGGCCCCCUGGACAAAGACUGACGCUCAGGUGCGAAAGCGUGGGGAGCAAACA
rnacentral:rRNA from 1 species